AUGUCUAAGCAAAGAAGGAAGGGUGAGGAGGAUGAGCCCAACUACUACCACAACCGCAGCGGCAACAAGGAUAAGAGCCUCUAUCUGGUUCUAGACGACUGGCACAAGGGCUUCACCAUCCGCAAGAUCGAUGCCGACAGUCCUGACCUCAGCGCCCCCCUCCUAGGCAGCAACAUCAUCGCCAUGACCAACAUACACGCGGGAACCCUCUUCUACGACACUGACACCGCCGGACUGCCCGUCGGCCCUCCCGUUCGAGACGCACUGCUUUGUGGCUCGAACACCUUCCUGACCUCUGGCGCCGGCGACGCGCUGUACGCGUUCGCCUUCCACUUCAUGGAGCGGCCUGUGUCCUUUGAGGCGAUGGCGAAGCCACCAACGAUGGAAGACGACGACCUGCUGCCCACCUACUGGUCCUGGAAAAGCAUGCCGAUGCCCUUCACCAAGGACGAGAUGAUCUUCUCCUACGCGCUGCACCCGGACGGGCGCACCAUAUUCGUGUCCUCGUGGAGCAGGGCAGUCUGCGGCACGUACUCUGUCGACACCAGGAGCUGCAAGUGGACGCGCCAUGGGGAGUGGAUGCUGCCUUUCAGAGGCCGAGGCUACUUCACCGCCGAGCUAGACGCAUGGGUCGGGCUGCACGAGGACGGCUACGUCUGCCCCUGCCAGGUUGCCUCCCGCAGCGGAGGCACCACGCAGCAGCCGGAGUGGAAGAUGGCCGAAGAGCAUAGGAUGUGGAUCCCGUGGCAUCAGCUAGAGUUUCGCCUGCGUCGGAUGUGA
rnacentral:rRNA from 1 species